UAGGGUUUGAUUCCGGCUAGAACGAGCGUUGGCGGCACGCUUAUUACACGCUGUCGAUCGAGAUGCUGGUUCGCUAUGCGGAAAGUGGCAGCCGGCCAGUAUCGCGUGGGAAUUUACUUAGAGGUUCGGCAAACUAUUGGAGCGAUGGCUAUUACCGGAUAAGCUUUUCGGGGGAAGGAUUAUCGCUUUUAGAUGAGCUUGCGUCGGAUUAGCUGUUGGUGAGGUAUUGGCUUACUAAAGCAACGAUCCGUAGCUGGUCUGAGAGGAUGAUCAGCCAGAUUGGGACUGAGACACGGCCUAGAACCUUACGGGAGGCAGCAGUAGGGAAUAUUGCGCAAUGGGGGAAAAUUUGACGCAGCGAUGCUGCGUGAGUGAAGAUGGCUUUAGGGUUGUAAAAUUUUUUAGUGGUGAUGAUAAUGACGGUAAUACAGAAAAGCUUUGGCUAACUUUGUGCUAGCAGCCGCGGUAAACAAUU
rnacentral:rRNA from 1 species